rnacentral:lncRNA from 1 species
CAGAGUAAGCAAGAAAUUCACAGAAGGUCUGCUCGGCUCAGAAAUACCAAGUACAAAUCUGCUCCAGCUGCUGAAAAGAAAGUUUCCACUAAAGGAAAAGGGAGAAGACAUAUUUUUAAGUUAAAAAACCCUAUCAAAGCUCCUGAGUCUGUUUCUACCAUAGUCACUGCAGAGUCAAUCUUCUACAAGGGAGUAUAUUACCAAAUUGGUGAUGUUGUUUCUGUGAUUGAUGAGCAAGAUGGGAAGCCGUACUAUGCUCAGAUCAGGGGUUUCAUUCAGGACCAGUAUUGUGAGAAGAGUGCCGCACUGACAUGGCUCAUUCCCACCCUCGCUAGUCCCAGAGACCAGUUUGAUCCUGCAUCAUAUAUAAUAGGUAAGGCACAGCAUCUUACAUUUGGUUAAUUCUUUAAUACAUUAUAAAUGAAUGUGCUUGUUUGUGUGAGCUGUCAUAGCAAAAUGUCACAGACUGUAGGGCUUGAGCAACAGACUGUUCUGAAGGUCGGAAGUCAGAUCUGGGAGCUGUUGACGAUGAGCACGUGUGAGGCCUUGCUUCCUGGUGUCUCCCAUGGUCUUUUUUCUGUGUGUGCACACUGAAAUAGAGUGCCCCAUAAAGUGUCUUUAUAAGGACACUAGUCUUAUCAGAUAGGGGUCCACUAAUUUUUUAAAUUAAAAUGCAAUUAUAUUUUUUCCUUUUCUUCCUCUGACCCUCUCAGGUAUACCCCACCCCAUUCUUUCUCAAACUUUAUGGUUCUACUUCUGUUAUUGUUAAUUGUUUAAUUACUGUAUAUAGUAAUGUAUAUUCUUAAAUACG